rnacentral:misc_RNA from 1 species
GAUGAAGAACGCAGCGAAAUGCGAUAAGUAAUGUGAAUUGCAGAAUUCAGUGAAUCAUCGAAUCUUUGAACGCACAUUGCGCCCGCCAGUAUUCUGGCGGGCAUGCCUGUCUGAGCGUCAUUUCAACCCUCAUGCCCCUAGGGCGUGGUGUUGGGGAUCGGCCAAAGCCCGCGAGGGACGGCCGGCCCCUAAAUCUAGUGGCGGACCCGUCGUGGCCUCCUCUGCGAAGUAGUGAUAUUCCGCAUCGGAGAGCGAUGAGCCCCUGCCGUUAAACCCCCAACUUUCCAAGGUUGACCUCAGAUCAGGUAGGAAUACCCGCUGAACUUAAGCAUAUCAGUAAGCGGAGGA